rnacentral:tRNA from 1 species
UCCCUGGUGGUCCAGUGGCUAAGACUCCUCACUCACAAUGCAGGGGGCCUGGGUUCAAUCCCUGGUCAAGGAA